CUGCUAUCGGAUGAUACUAAGCCAUGCGAGUCUUUGUAGUAAUACAAGGCAGACGGCUCAGUAACACGUAGUCAACCUACCCUAUGGGCAAGAAUAAUCUCGGGAAACUGGGCAUAAUUCUUGAUAGAUCAUAAUGCCUGGAAUGGUUUAUGGUUAAAAUGAUUCAUCGCCAUAGGAUGGGACUGCGGCCUAUCAGCUUGUUGGUGAGGUAAUGGCCCACCAAGGCGAUUACAGGUACGGGCUCUGAGAGGAGAAGCCCGGAGAUGGGUACUGAGACACGGACCCAGGCCCUAUGGGGCGCAGCAGGCGAGAAAACUUUGCAAUGUGCGAAAGCACGACAAGGUUAAUCCGAGUGAUUUCUGCUAAAGAAAUCUUUUGCCAGUCAUAAAACCACUGGUGAAUAAGGGGUGGGCAAGUUCUGGUGUCAGCCGCCGCGGUAAAACCAGCACCUCAAGUGGUCAGGAUGAUUAUUGGGCCUAAAGCAUCCGUAGCCGGCUUUGUUAGUUUUCGGUUAAAUCCAUGUGCUCAACGCAUGGGCUGCCGAAAAUACUGCAUAGCUAGGGAGUGGGAGAGGUAGACGGUACUCAGUAGGAAGGGGUAAAAUCCUUUGAUCUAUUGAUGACCACCUGUGGCGAAGGCGGUCUACCAGAACACGUUCGACGGUGAGGGAUGAAAGCUGGGGGAGCAAACCGGAUUAGAUACCCGGGUAGUCCCAGCUGUAAACGAUGCAGACUCGAUGAUGCAUUGGCAUAAUAGCCAUUGCAGUGUCUCAGGGAAGCCGUUAAGUCUGCCGCCUGGGAAGUACGUACGCAAGUAUGAAACUUAAAGGAUUGGCGGGG
rnacentral:rRNA from 1 species